UGCUCUGAGAUCAAAACAGGUUACCCAUUAACACAAUGCUAACACAGAACAUCCAGAAUCAGGCUUCGAUUUGUUGUUGAGGCUGGAUUGGUUAAUGUAGUGGCCUUUGGUCCGAAUUGAUCGAACUUUAAGGGUCAACAUUUAGCCAUGUCAACAAAGAACCCAUCAGUGAAAGCACACACGAGAGAAAACAUUGAUUUAAGCAGUAGAGCAUGAGAGAUUCUGUCAUAGAGGUAUUGAUCUGCUCCUAGAAUAUUGGCGAUAAAACAUUUAUCAUACACUUUUGAUAUACUGUUUCACAUACCAAACAUAUCGAUGAUUACACCCAUAUGCGGACCUUUCCCAAACUGUCGCCACAAAUUUGGAAGCACACAAUUGUAUAAGAUGUCUUUGUAUGCUGUAGCUUUAAAAUUUUCCUUCACUGGAACUAAGGGGACAAGCCCAAACCUGUUCCAGCAUGACAAUGUCACUAUGCACAAAGUGAGCUUUAUACAGACACGGUUUGCCAAGGCUGGAAUGGAAGAACUUGAGUGGCCUGCACAGAGCCCUGACCUCAACCCCAGUGAUCACUUUUGCGAUGAGUUGGCCUCCACAUCCAACAUCUGUGCCUGAUUGGCCUUACUAAUGGCAAAAAUGGCUAAAUCCCCAAAAGCCACGCUCCAAAAUCUUGUGGAACGCCUUCCCAGAAGAAUGGAAUGUUCAACAAGCACAUAUCUUUGCUGGCCAGAGCAAUAAACUGCAAUGUCUGUAAUGUGAGAUGCCUAAGACAGCGCUACAGGGAGACAGAAAGGACAGCUGAUCGUCCUUGCAGUGGAAAACCACGUGUAACUCAAUGCCCCUUCAGGAUUAAAGCUGAACAGCAACGCUUCCUCCACUCCAAUUUCCCCUGGCAGUGAAAUUAAAGUGAGUUAAAUCCCACCAUGUGUGGAUGGACAGAGAGAAGAUGAGUGUAAUAAGUGGAGGUGAGUAUCAAACGGGCAUGGGCAUCUCUGUGUACUCAUCCACUCCCUCUUUCUCAUCAAACGUGGGCACGGAAUCGUCCGCAUCGAGCUGCAGAGAGACACGAGACAAGAAUGAGGCAACUGUGCUAUCUAUCUAUCUAUCUAUCUAUCUAUCAAGCUAUCUAUCAUCAGUC